rnacentral:rRNA from 1 species
UGGGGAAUAUUGGACAAUGGAGGCAACUCUGAUCCAGCAAUUCUGUGUGUGUGAAGAAGGUUUUAGGACUGUAAAACACUUUUAGUAGGGAAGAAAGAAAUGACGGUACCUACAGAAGAAGCGACGGCUAAAUACGUGCCAGCAGCCGCGGUAAUACGUAUGUCGCGAGCGUUAUCCGGAAUUAUUGGGCUUAAAGGGCAUCUAGGCGGUAAGACAAGUUGAAGGUGAAAACCUGUGGCUCAACCAUAGGCUUGCCUACAAAACUGUUGAACUAGAGUACUGGAAAGGUGGGUGGAACUACACGAGUAGAGGUGAAAUUCGUAGAUAUGUGUAGGAAUGCCGAUGAUGAAGAUAACUCACUGGACAGAAACUGACGCUGAAGUGCGAAAGCUAGGGGAGCAAACAGG